UUGCAAUCAAUCAACAGUGUCUGCAGCUUUCCGUGUUAUUUAUCACAUGCGCACUGUUUUACCAGUGUAUCAUCCUUUAUAUUAUUCAGAUGAUGUGAGAUUCUACUCUACUUGGUCUUGCUGCUGCAGCUGAGACUUUUUGGUCAUCUUUAAAGGGUGUGUACAACAUUGAUCUCAGAUGAACUGUGACUUAAGGAGGGCAUUCUGUUUUCCCUACAAUCAGCAAGCCUUGUUUGGUUGGAUUUGGUGGAAUGUUCCAACUUUAUUGUCAUUGUAUCAAAGAGGAAGAUCAAAGAUGGCAGCAACUUGAUAUGGGUUCAAUCUUCCCUUACUGUAACCCAAGUCCAAGUGAGGUGAAGACUUGUUCACUUUGAACAAAAAGACUUGAGAGGACUAUAUCACUGUACAGUAAACAGGUUAAAAAAUCCUGAGUCUUCAAAGGCAGUGGACACUAUUGGUAAUUACUCAAAAUAAUUAUUAGCAUAAAACCUCACUUGGUAACAAGU